rnacentral:rRNA from 1 species
GACGAACGCUGGCGGCGUGCCUAAUACACGCAAGUUGAGCGCUGAAGGUUGGUACUUGUACCAACUGGAUGAGCAGCGAACGGGUGAGUAACGCGUGGGGAAUCUGCCUUUGAGCGGGGGACAACAUUUGGAAACGAAUGCUAAUACCGCAUAAAAACUUUAAACACAAGUUUUAAGUUUGAAAGAUGCAAUUGCAUCACUCAAAGAAGAUCCCGCGUUGUAUUAGCUAGUUGGUGAGGUAAAGGCUCACCAAGGCGAUGAUACAUAGCCGACCUGAGAGGGUGAUCGGCCACAUUGGGACUGAGACACGGCCCAAACUCCUACGGGAGGCAGCAGUAGGGAAUCUUCGGCAAUGGACGAAAGUCUGACCGAGCAACGCCGCGUGAGUGAAGAAGGUUUUCGGAUCGUAAAACUCUGUUGGUAGAGAAGAACGUUGGUGAGAGUGGAAAGCUCAUCAAGUGACGGUAACUACCCAGAAAGGGACGGCUAACUACGUG